AGUGAACGCUGGCGGUAGGCCUAACACAUGCAAGUCGAACGGCAGCACAGUAAGAGCUUGCUCUUACGGGUGGCGAGUGGCGGACGAGUGAGGAAUACAUCGGAAUCUACUUUUUCGUGGGGGAUAACGUAGGGAAACUUACGCUAAUACCGCAUACGACCUACGGGUGAAAGCAGGGGAUCUUCGGACCUUGCGCGAUUGAAUGAGCCGAUGUCGGAUUAGCUAGUUGGCGGGGUAAAGGCCCACCAAGGCGACGAUCCGUAGCUGGUCUGAGAGGAUGAUCAGCCACACUGGAACUGAGACACGGUCCAGACUCCUACGGGAGGCAGCAGUGGGGAAUAUUGGACAAUAGGCGCAAGCCUGAUCCAGCCAUACCGAGUGGGUGAAGAAGGCCUUCGGGUUGUAAAGCCCUUUUGUUGGGAAAGAAAAGCAGCAGGUUAAUACCCCGCUGUUCUGACGGUACCCAAAGAAUAAGCACCGGCUAACUUCGUG
rnacentral:rRNA from 1 species